CGGCAGAUAUGCAAACCGGAUAAGCGAGCGGACUGUAAAUCCGUUGCCCUCGGGCACCUGUAGGUUCGAGUCCUACUCUGCCGA
rnacentral:tRNA from 1 species